rnacentral:rRNA from 1 species
UACGUAGGUCCCGAGCGUUGUCCGGAUUUAUUGGGCGUAAAGCGAGCGCAGGUGGUUCAUUAAGUCUGGUGUAAAAGGCAGUGGCUUAACCAUUGUAUGCAUUGGAAACUGGUAGACUUGAGUGCAGGAGAGGAGAGUGGAAUUCCAUGUGUAGCGGUGAAAUGCGUAGAUAUAUGGAGGAACACCGGUGGCGAAAGCGGCUCUCUGGCCUGUAACUGACACUGAGGCUCGAAAGCGUGGGGAGCAAACAGG